UAGGGAAUCUUCCGCAAUGGGCGAAAGCCUGACGGAGCAACGCCGCGUGAGUGAUGAAGGUCUUCGGAUCGUAAAACUCUGUUAUUAGGGAAGAACAAAUGUGUAGUAACUGUGCACGUCUUGACGGUACCUAAUCAGAAAGCCACGGCUAACUACGUGCCAGCAGCCGCGGUAAUACGUAGGUGGCAAGCGUUAUCCGGAAUUAUUGGGCGUAAAGCGCGCGUAGGCGGUUUCUUAAGUCUGAUGUGAAAGCCCACGGCUCAACCGUGGAGGGUCAUUGGAAACUGGGAAACUUGAGUGCAGAAGAGGAAAGUGGAAUUCCAUGUGUAGCGGUGAAAUGCGCAGAGAUAUGGAGGAACACCAGUGGCGAAGGCGACUUUCUGGUCUGUAACUGACGCUGAUGUGCGAAAGCGUGGGGAUCAAACAGG
rnacentral:rRNA from 1 species